ensembl:lncRNA
UCUGAGAUUCUAGAACACCUUGUGAGGAUAAUGGUACUGAGACUUAUUCUAGAAUGUUUUCUGAGAUUCUAGAACACCUUGUGAGGAUAAUGGUACUGAGACUUAUUCUAGAAUGUUUUCUGAGAUUCUAGAACACAUUGUGAGGAUAAUGGUACUGAGACUUAUUCUAGAAUGUUUUCCAGAGAUUCUAGAACACCUUGUGAGGACAAAAGGUACUGAGACUUAUUCUAGAAUGUUUUCUGAGAUUCUAGAACACAUUGUGAGGAUAAAGGUACUGAGACUUAUUCUAGAAUGUUUUCUGAGAUUCUAGAACACCUUGUGAGGACAAAAGGUACUGAGACUUAUUCUAGAAUGUUUUCUGAGAUUCUAGAACACCUUGUGAGGACAAAAGGUACUGAGACUUAUUCUAGAAUGUUUUCUGAGAUUCUAGAACACAUUGUGAGGGAUCUUAGAACAGUCCUCCAUACAGAAUCCUUUCAGAUCCUUGAUAUCCUCUGUCUGUGCUUAUGGACCGGCUCUCUUCAAUUCACACCACAGAUUUUCAAUAUGUUUAAAGUUCGGAGACUUGAUUUUGUGGUCAAUGAACCAUUUCUUCGUGGAUGUUGAUGGGUGCUUGGGGUUAUCGUCUUACUGGAAGAUCCACUUGUGGCCAAGUUUCAGUCUCCUGGCAGAGACAACCAGGUUUUUAUCUAAAAUGUCCAAGUAUUUGGUAAAGUUCAUGAUGCCGUUGACCUUAACAAGGAUCCCAGGACCAGUGGAGGCUAAACAGCCCCAUAACAUCACAGAUCCACCACAAUGUUUUACAGUAGGUAUGAGGUUAUUUUCUACAUCCUUCUUUCACACGCCAAAACAUUGUGUGUUUGUUACCAAAGAGCUCUAGAGAGAGAGAUAACUAGAGUCACCCAUUACUAACAACCUCCACUACACCGUGAUGAAUAAACCAGAAACGUAUGAAGACCCUCACAGACUCUGUGUUUAUAACAAUAAACCAGGAGUCAAAUAGCUGGUCAGCAGCUUUUCAGGUUAAGAACAGAAAACAUCAAGUAGACAGAACAUUUCUGCCAGUGAAGCUGUUGAGACUGGUAGGAUGUCGGUAGGAAGGAGGUAGGAUAGGAUAUAGUGGAGUGUCAUGCUUCAUGGCCAAACCCAAGCUAAUACUGUUAUAUACAGUUCAUUAUCCUGCACCAUACUGCUAUAUACAGUACAUUAUCCUGUAUUAUACUGCUAUAUACAGCACAUUAUCCUGCUAUAUACAGUACAUUAUCCUACUCCAUACUGCUACAUACAGUACAUUAUCCUGCACCAUACUGCUAUAUACAGUACAUUAUCCUGCUAUAUACACAAUGCAUUAUCCUGCUCCAUGCUGCUAUAUACAGUACAUUAUCCUGCACCAUACUGCUAUAUACAGUACAUUAUCCUGCUAUAUACAGUACAUUAUCCUGCUAUAUACAGUACAUUAUCCUGCUAUAUACAGUACAUUAUCCU